rnacentral:misc_RNA from 1 species
AACUGAUACUACCUGCGGGAACCUGCGGAGGGAUCAUUACCGAGUUUACAACUCCCAAACCCCUGUGAACAUACCACUUGUUGCCUCGGCGGAUCAGCCCGCUCCCGGUAAAACGGGACGGCCCGCCAGAGGACCCCUAAACUCUGUUUCUAUAUGUAACUUCUGAGUAAAACCAUAAAUAAAUCAAAACUUUUAACAACGGAUCUCU